UCCCUGGUGGUCCAGUGGCUAAGACUCAUGUUUCCAAUGCAGGUGGCCUGGGUUCAAUCCCUGGUCAGGGAA
rnacentral:tRNA from 1 species